UAGUUCGUGGAGUGAUCUGUCUGCUUAAUUGCGUUUCACAAAGGGCUUUCUAACUUCCACCUGUUGCGCGUUGCACCUCGGUGCUUCGUCGCACGGUGGAGAAAAAGCUCUGAAGGCAACGAACGUGACCGCAACCUCUUGUUGCCUCCUUUUUUAUAAAACAUGGUUGUCUGUUUUGCUUCGGCAUCAGGCUUCCUGCACGGAGUUUUUGCAAACUAGAGGGACCGCUGACAACUUUUAAAACAGAGGAAGGUUGCGGCAAUAACAGG
rnacentral:rRNA from 1 species